CUUUUUCGGAGAGUUUGAUCCUGGCUCAGGACGAACGCUGGCGGCGUGCCUAAUACAUGCAAGUCGAGCGGACAGAAGGGAGCUUGCUCCCGGAUGUUAGCGGCGGACGGGUGAGUAACACGUGGGUAACCUGCCUGUAAGACUGGGAUAACUCCGGGAAACCGGAGCUAAUACCGGAUAGUUCCUUGAACCGCAUGGUUCAAGGAUGAAAGACGGUUUCGGCUGUCACUUACAGAUGGACCCGCGGCGCAUUAGCUAGUUGGUGAGGUAACGGCUCACCAAGGCGACGAUGCGUAGCCGACCUGAGAGGGUGAUCGGCCACACUGGGACUGAGACACGGCCCAGACUCC
rnacentral:rRNA from 2 species